ACUAUUUUAGCAUAUGCAAUGCUUUAAGCUUAGAACUUAAUUAAGUAGCUAACAAAUUCUACAAUUAGUA
rnacentral:tRNA from 1 species